rnacentral:ncRNA from 1 species
CGCUACAACGGCUUCCUGACGUGGCGACUUUUUAUAAUCGGAGCG